AGUGGCGGACGGGUGAGUAACGCGUGAGUAACCUGCCUUUCAGAGGGGAAUAACGUUCUGAAAAGAACGCUAAUACCGCAUAAUGUACAGCUUUCGCAUGGAAGCAGUACCAAAGGAGCAAUCCGCUGAGAGAUGGACUCGCGUCCGAUUAGCUAGUUGGUGGGGUAAAGGCCUACCAAGGCGAUGAUCGGUAGCCGGACUGAGAGGUUGAACGGCCACAUUGGGACUGAGACACGGCCCAGACUCCUACGGGAGGCAGCAGUGGGGGAUAUUGCACAAUGGGGGAAACCCUGAUGCGGCAACGCCGCGUGUGGGAAGAAGGUUUUCGGAUUGUAAACCACUGUUCUUGGUGAAGAUAAUGACGGUAACCAAGGAGAAAGCUCCGGCUAACUACGUGCCAGCAGCCGCGGUAAUACGUAGGGAGCAAGCGUUGUCCGGAUUUACUGGGUGUAAAGGGCGCGUAGGCGGCUUUGCAAGUCAGACGUGAAAACCACAGGCUCAACCUGUGGACUGCGUUUGAAACUGUAGGGCUUGAGUGAAGUAGAGGUAGGCGGAAUUCCCGGUAUAGCGGUGGAAUGCGUAGAUAUAUGGAAGAACACCAGUGGCGAAGGCGGCUCUCUGGUCUGCAACUGACGCUGAGGCUCGAAAGCAUGGGUAGCGAACAGGAUUAGAUACCCUGGUAGUCCAUGCCGUAAACGAUGAGUGCUAAGUGU
rnacentral:rRNA from 1 species